CCAUUUGUGAUAUUGGAUAACACAACAAAGACAUACACUGGAAUAACAAUGAAACUUUUGAAACAACUGUCAGACGGUCUUAAUUUCACAUAUGAUCUAAUAGGACCACCAGACGGUAAUUGGGGAGCAGAAUUAGACAAUGGUUAUUGGAAUGGUAUGGUGGGACAACUUCAACGAAAAGAAGUUGACAUGGUAGCGACCGCUCUGACUGUUCUAUCACAAAGAGAAAUGGUGAUGGAUUUUACCCAUCCUUAUUACUAUGAAUUCUCGUCAAUUAUAGUCAAGAAACCCGAUCCUAAUGAAAAACAAUGGACUAAACUACUUGAUCCUUUCAGUUCGACAGUUUUCUUAUUUGUUGGGAUUUCGGUACCAGCUUGCUCGUUUUUACUUUUUUUCUUUGAAAAGUACAACCCGUUCUACAGCAAAGUCAUACAGAGAAAGAAAAUAAGAGGACUGCAUCACUUCUCCGAUUCAUUUUAUUAUAUGUAUGGUGCUCUUUUA